rfam:Triticum aestivum genome assembly, contig: Triticum_aestivum_CS42_TGACv1_scaffold_249265_3DL
AUAAUACUUCCUCCGUCCGAAAAUACUUGUCAUCAAAAUGAGUAAAGAGAAAUAUAUCUAGAACUAAAAUACAUCUAGAUACAUCCAUUUUUAUCCAUUUUGAUGACAAGUAUUUCCGGACGAAGGGAGUACAUA